rnacentral:rRNA from 1 species
UACAGGGGUGCUAGCGUUGUUCGGAAUUACUGGGCGUAAAGGGCGCGUAGGCGGUUUGCAAGUCAGGAGUGAAAUCCCGGAGCUUAACUCCGGAACUGCUUUGAAACUGCAAGGCUUGAGUGCAUUAGAGGAUGGCGGAAUUCUUAGUGUAGUGGUGAAAUACGUAGAUAUUAAGAAGAACACCGGUGGCGAAGGCGGCCAUCUGGGAUGCAACUGACGCUGAGGCGCGAAAGCUAGGGGGAGCAAACGGG